rnacentral:rRNA from 1 species
UACGUAGGUGGCAAGCGUUAUCCGGAUUUAUUGGGCGUAAAGGGAACGCAGGCGGUCUUUUAAGUCUGAUGUGGAAGCCUUCGGCUUAACCGGAGUAGUGCAUUGGAAACUGGGAGACUUGAGUGCAGAAGAGGAGAGUGGAACUCCAUGUGUAGCGGUGAAAUGCGUAGUUAUAUGGAAGAACACCAGUGGCGAAAGCGGCUCUCUGGUCUGUAACUGACGCUGAGGUUCGAAAGCGUGGGUAGCAAACAGG